rnacentral:lncRNA from 1 species
GUGAUAUAGGUUUGUAAACAUAUUAAGUAUUUUUUUUAAUUAAUAAAAAAUAAAUUUUAUUUAUAUUUAUUGUCAGCAGUAUAAUAUAUUUAUAUGAUUCGUCUGGUGAAUCUUCGUUAAAAAAAUAUAUUUUUAAGAGUUAGAAAUUUGAGAUAUAUAUUUUUUAGUACAAGAUUUUUAAACGCUCCUAGCCAUUGGAAUAUCAUAAAGACGAUGAUAUUUUCGGAUAGGCCGAUGCAUGCUACACUUCUAUAUUGAGGUGACGAAUCUCAAGUCAUUAGUAUAGAGACACUAAAGUAAAUAUGCAGAUGCUUGUUAGCAAACAAGUACACUGAGCGUGACCAUUUAGUUGAACAGUGACAUGGUUCCAUAUUCACCGGUGACCAUUUACUAUGAAGUUCUAUCUUGCUAUAAAUUAUAUCUAUAUUCUAUGUGGUGAUUAGAUUUAAGGUUUAUUACUUACAAAAAGGAUUCUUAUAUUCCCUACUUAUAAUUUAUUUAACUCUUGAUAAUAUUUAACUCUUGAUAAUAUUUAAAACUUAAGAGUUAGUUUAAAGCUUAACAUAAGUCAUUGCACCUUUUCACAAAGACAACAACAUCCAAGCUACAUAAACCAUUGCAUUCUUUCACAAAGACAAUAACAGCAGGUGGAAUACUUGUACCAAACACAUACUCCGACCGACCAACUGUUUUGCUAUAGUUCUAAAUUCACCCUAUUUGUUCUCAAUCAGCGAAACCUAGAUAUUCUCAAUCGACGAAGCCUACCGUGGUGGGGGACCAUUCGGUCUCCCUAACCUGAUUGUUCUUAAUCGGCGAAGCCUUCCCUGUAUGUGAAUUUCAUAUGAAUGUGUAUGUGAAUUUGUGUAUGAUUGAAUCUUAUAGUCAGAAAAUAUAUGUGUAUUUAGAUAUGUGUAUUUUAGAUAUGUUUAUUUAAUAUAUGUGUAUUUUAUAUAUGUCUAAAUUAUAUAUGUGUAAUUUAUAUAUGUUUAAUAUAAAUAUGUUAAUUUUAUAUGUCUAUGAUAUAUAUUUUAUGUCUAUUUUAAUAUAUGUCUAUAAUAUAUAUUUUAUGU